GCCAGAGGGACUGAAGACGCUGGACCUGAAUGUCACUAUCAAGAUCACCUUCGAGUUAAAUCAGAAGAUCCUCCGUCAGAAUCCUGAGCUCUUGGAGGCUGUAGCCUCCAGUCCUCUUCUUGCACAGUUGAUACAGCGAUGUAUGAUUAACUGACACAGAUGGCGUGCACUCUCCAUGUCUUCGCAAACAUGGCUCCAAACGCUGUGGUGUACCCCACUAUGAGAAUCCAGGUGCGGACCUGCACCGCAACAGAGACGUCGUCACUGCCGGACAUAGGUCGCAGUGACGUGUGGAUAAAGGUGAUGUGGACAGAGUGCGCCAAUACCCCCUCCUUCCCGGCCGAAUGCAACACAAUGAGGCCUUGUGUUGCACACCACGGCCUCCAAAGCGUUCCCACAUUUCCGGAGAAGGCCUUCAAUGAACGGAGCUUUCCAAUUCAUGGCAUUUCACAGGACGACUGGGGCUUUUAUCCAGAUGCUCCAUUCCCUUUCAAAGGCCUCUGCUUGGGCUUGGCUUCCAGCAUUGCUCAGCACCCUCCCCCCACUCCUGGUUCCCACUACCCUGUCCCCCCGACUCGAUCGCAGCCAGGCCUCAGGUGUUGCCCCACGCAGACACCUGACAGGUCCUUCGCAGAGUCGGCCGCAGAGACUGAAAAAUCAAUACCCGCACCGGCAGAACCACCAAAAACGAGGUGCUGUUAUUGAAACGCAAUUAGAAGCUUAAAGCAAGGAACCGUGUUGUGUGUAAUCCAACUUUGUUCUGGUUACACCAGAUGAUGGGACCUGUUAACAUUGCUGAGGAUUCUCCUGUAGCAAUACCUCAUUCAAAACAUGUACUCAUCAUGUAUGGAAAGCAUCACCCCUCUGAUUUUAACAGCAGAAACGAUCCUUCUUGUGGCAGAGUAACUGGCCGGAGCUCUGGUGCCACCUUGACCGUCG